ACUCCUGAGUAGCUGGGAUUACAGGCACACGCCACUACACCAGGCUAAUUUUUGUAUUUUUAGUAGAGACGGGGUUUCACCAUGUUGGCCAGGAUGGUCUCGAUCUCCGGGACCUGGUGAUCCACUGGACUCGGCCUCCCAAAAUGCUGGGAUUACAGGCAUGAGCCACUGCACCCGG